rnacentral:rRNA from 1 species
UACAGAGGGGGCAAGCGUUAUUCGGAAUUAUUGGGCGUAAAGAGCGUGUAGGCGGCCUGAAAGGUCAGCUGUGAAAACUCGAGGCUCAACCUCGAGACGCCGAUGGAAACCAUCAGACUAGAGUCCGGAAGAGGAGAGUGGAAUUCCUGGUGUAGCGGUGAAAUGCGCAGAUAUCAGGAAGAACACCCGUGGCUAAGGCGGCUCUCUAGUACGGUACUGACGCUGAGACGCGAAAGCGUGGGGAGCGAACAGG